rnacentral:rRNA from 1 species
GACGAACGCUGGCGGCGUGCCUAAUACAUGCAAGUUGAGCGCUGAAGGUUGGUACUUGUACCAACUGGAUGAGCAGCGAACGGGUGAGUAACGCGUGGGGAAUCUGCCUUUGAGCGGGGGACAACAUUUGGAAACGAAUGCUAAUACCGCAUAAAAACUUUAAACACAAGUUUUAAGUUUGAAAGAUGCAAUUGCAUCACUCAAAGAUGAUCCCGCGUUGUAUUAGCUAGUUGGUGAGGUAAAGGCUCACCAAGGCGAUGAUACAUAGCCGACCUGAGAGGGUGAUCGGCCACAUUGGGACUGAGACACGGCCCAAACUCCUACGGGAGGCAGCAGGAGGGAAUCUUCGGCAAUGGACGAAAGUCUGAACGAGCAACGCCGCGUGAGGGAAGAAGGGUUUCGGAUCGUAAAACUCUGUUGGUAGAGAAGAACGUUGGUGAGAGUGGAAAGCUCAUCAAGUGACGGUAACUACCCAGAAAGGGACGGCUAACUACGUG